UUGAUUUUCUUUUCUCUUUUCAUUCUAAAACGCUUUCAUCUCCCUCUACCUCAUUCUUUCUAACUUCCAUCAUCAUCAUCCUCCAUCUUCUACUUCUUCUUCUCAGCUUCUCAUUAGGGUCCAUUGAUUUUUGCAGCCAUGGAUUAUGAUCUGGUUCGUUCCAAGAAGAGUAUCAAACGAGCAGAAUCCACCAAAUCAAAUCCAUGGUGGUGGGAUAGUCAUAUCGGUCUCAAAAAUUCAAAGUGGCUUGAGAAUAAUCUCGAUGGUGAGUCCAUUCUCGCAUUGUGUGUCAUUUUCAUGUGAAAA